GGACUACUGGGGUAUCUAAUCCCAUUCGCUCCCCUAGCUUUCGUUCCUCAGUGUCAGUUACGGCCCAGCAAGUCGCUUGCGCCACCGGUGUUCUUCCAGAUAUCUACGCAUUUCACCGCUACACCUGGAAUUCCACUUGCCUCUACCGCACUCAAGUCUGCCAGUAUCCAAUGCAGUCCCGAGGUUGAGCCCCAGUCUUUAACAUCAGACUUAACAAACCACCUACGAACUCUUUACGCCCAAUAAAUCCGGACAACGCUUGCAUCCUACGUCUUACCGCGGCUGCUGGCAC
rnacentral:rRNA from 1 species